rnacentral:rRNA from 1 species
CCCUUAGAUGUCCUGGGCCGCACGCGCGCCACACUGAUGCAUUCAACGAGUUUUACCUUGGCCGAGAGGCCUGGGCAAUCUUUUAAACCUGCACCGUGAUAGGGAUAGAUUAUUGCAAUUAUUAAUCUUGAACGAGGAAUUCCUAGUAAACGCAAAUCAUCAAUUUGCAUUGAUUACGUCCCUGCCCUUUGUACACACCGCCCGUCGCACCUACCGAUUGAAUGAUCCGGUGAAGCCUCGGGAUUGUGGCCAGUUCACUUUAUUGGGAGUUGGCUGUGAGAACUUGUCUAAACCUUAUCAUUUAGAGGAAGGUGAAGUCGUAACA